ACGAACGCUGGCGGCGUGCCUAAUACAUGCAAGUCGAGCGGAUUUUAUCCUUCGGGAUAAGGUUAGCGGCGGACGGGUGAGUAACACGUAGGCAACCUGCCUGCAAGAUCGGGAUAACAUUCGGAAACGAAUGCUAAUACCGGAUACACAAUUUCCUCGCAUGGGGAGAUUGGGAAAGACGGCGCAAGCUGUCACUUGCAGAUGGGCCUGCGGUGCAUUAGCUAGUUGGUGGGGUAACGGCUCACCAAGGCGACGAUGCAUAGCCG
rnacentral:rRNA from 1 species